UAUUAGAGUAAAAGCGAAUGAAUCGAUUGAUCUCUGUUGAACGAUAUCUGUACAAUAUAUACAAGCCCAAAGGGGUGUCUAUUGGUGAAGAGGUGUCUCUACGGUGAAACUACGGUGUUUCUACGGGGGAACCGUGUUCCCACGGGGAACCGUCAUUAGCGGUUGCUAAUGUUGGUCUUAUCUAAUUGAUCACCUAAUCUAACUAAUCCUAACAAUUCCUACGUCCACACUAAUCUCACUGGAUAUGCAUUAUGCUCCCGUUGGGAUCAACCUCCAAAAAACAUCAAGUAUUUAUUUUAUCUUCUUUUACUGCAAUCCCCACUGCCAGUUGCCACCGCAGUCAUCCCCCUUCCCUUUUUACUGCCACCGGGUAAAAGACCCUAGCGUCUCGACGUUGCCUUAGUUGGUACUUUUGACUAACUUUGCGCGCGAGUCCAGUGAUGAAGACGACGGGGAAGACUGUUGGUCAGGUCAGUGGGAUGAACUCUGGUUCUGUCCGAGAGAGCUGUGGUGGGAAUACCUCUGGAUCUGUCCGGGUGAGCUGCGGUGGGAUCACCUCUGCAUCUGUCCGGGUGAGAUGGAUAAGUUGAAAACACGGUGAAGCAUUUGCAGGAAAUCCCCUAGCACUUCUAUAUGCAGGGACUUGUUCUGCCGAUGCUUCUACUAUUCUGUACUGAGCAAAACUGCUAAGAAGGGUAAAUAAAAUCUUGGUAUAGUCAUGCGUUCCUACCGAAGUGGCGAUAUACGAUGUCUGGCCUGUGUUUGAUGCAUCCCUUUGACCUUUGUGGUGUUACUUGAGACAUGUCCACUAAAAUAACAAUUGAAAGAUGCUCUCUACUUUUGGCAUUACUGUUGGAGAAGUUCGGGACCCUUUAAUAAUGAUUAGUAGUUUAGCACUCCAUCUAUCCGUUCUUAAUUGUAGGUCACUUUGGCCUUUCAAGAUAUGUUGUUAUUGCCAUGUAUCUAGACAUAGCGUAUCUUUAGAUAAAUGAAUGUACCUUAGAAAAGCAAAAACGAUCUACAAUUUGGAGCGGAAAGAAUACUAUAUAAUGCUUAUAUGCUCAAUGUGGCGUUUCCA